GGUGGUUCAGUGGUUAGCAUAUCAGACUUGCACCCAAAAUGGUGUUGGUUCGAAUCCUACCUGGAUCA